rnacentral:rRNA from 1 species
UACGUAGGGUGCAAGCGUUGUCCGGAAUUAUUGGGCGUAAAGAGCUCGUAGGCGGUCUGUCGCGUCGGCUGUGAAAACUCGGGGCUCAACCCCGAGCCUGCAGUCGAUACGGGCAGACUAAAGUGCGGUAGGGGAGACUGGAAUUCCUGGUGUAGCGGUGAAAUGCGCAGAUAUCAGGAGGAACACCGGUGGCGAAGGCAGCCCCCUGGGCCAAUACUGACGCUCAGGCACGAAAGCGUGGGGAGCAAACAGG